GGAGUAAUUCAGCCCUGCUCGCUGUACCAAUACACAGCAGGCAGAAAGCAUCUUCCAGUGAACACACAACACUCAGGAAGUUUCAUUUCUUGGCUUGAAUAAAAUGAGAAAGAAAGAUGCCCUUCCAACAUCAGCAAACAGGAUCCCUGGGAGAGGGAAGGCAGCAAGGGAAAGAGGAUGGAUGAAGAGAGAAAGGGAAUAUCUUUCAUCUCUUUUGGGGCCAGUCCCUUGCCUUUUACUGAACUCUUCCACAAUUACAACACCAACGGGUUCCUCAAACACAUCUCCAAGCUCUGCUGCUCACUCUGCUCCAGCAUGAAGUCGGGAUGAAGGGGGACAAGAAAAGGCAGGCUCAUAAACAACGCUUCUACAUACUGAAAGACUACUACGAAAUCUCCACUACAGUGUCUCACCAACCCAUCCAUAUCUAUAUCUAUCUAUCUAUCUACAUGAUUUGGGACAUAUAAUUAGCACUCUGCAGUGGCAAAAUAAAACUGUUAGAAAAGUGUGCAACAAAAAUUUGUGACUAUUUGGGAAAGUAGUUUGUCAGAAUAGCGUUUUUAGAUGGAGGUGCUUCCAGGUUUUCUUAUUCAGCAGCAAGAGGAUCAGUUAUAUUAAUGGACCAAUACAGCUCUGAUGUGGCAUGCUAAAAAAAUAUAAAAUCUUUGUUUUUCAAUUAAACUGAAGAAAAAAAAAUUAUUUUUUAACUGAAAUAAUGCCCAACCUCAAAGCUAUUCUAAACGAAAUGAAUAGGUAGAUAACGUGGUGUCUGGAAAGCAAAGUUCUAGUCCCUUGGCAAAAAUCUGCAGCUGAAAGGGUUUGUUUAUUUGUCAAAAACAUUGAGUUAAAUUUUGUAUUUUAAAAAUGGUGGGAUACUAUAACUUAUGAGCUAAAAUUAAUAAAGGUGAAUAGGAGAAUCUAUAAGUUUUCUGGUAAGAAAAUCUGUAAGCAAUCAGCUAUUCUAUAUCUUCCAUCAAUAUACAGUCCUUUGUUACUCAAUGAUUUCAACAAGAUGCGGGUUUGCCUUGAGUGCAGUUUGUAACCUAUUAGCUUGAUCCAGUUUCCACUAAAGCAAAUGAAAAGACUACCAUUGACCUCAAUGCAAGCUGGAUUAGACUCCGUUCACAUUCACAGUGGAGAAAAAGAAAUCUUAAUGAUUAUUUAUGCCAGAAAUUCCAGAGCAAAAAGCAAAAUUGAUGCAAAUGUGUUGGAGAAUUUGAAGAGAAAAAUGAGCACAGUGGAUAUAAAGUAUGGUUCCAAUAAAAACUCUAAGAUUACUAAUUACUCUGAAUAAGCUUAUAGAAAUGCUAUAGAUGUAAUUUAAUUGCACAAAUAUACUUCCAAAUCCAAUUACAGCAAUGGAGCAAUGAUUAUACAGUUGCAUUAAGAGUUAAAAUAAAAUAUGAUACCAGAUAAAUGGGUAUAUUAGAAAGGCAUUAUUAGAUUUUCUUGCAUUUAGCCACCAUAGAGUGCCACCAACCCUUGAAGCUAGGGACAGAUAGAAAAUAACAGAGGAGAAAGAUUGAGCUCGCUUGCUAAAUAUAGCCAGUAACAACUGAGGUAUUUCUAUUAGAAAAGAGAAAUGGAGAGAUACUAGAUACCAAUACAUGACUUACACAACAAAUCAAAAUACUGACUCAUGCUCGCAGCCUUACAGCUCCACCAGAAUUAGCAACUUUUGUGAGUACCAAACCAUAAAAGAAGUAAAACUGAAGAGGAUUUACUGCAGAAAUUUGAAACAUCCCAGAGAAAUCACAAUAUAGCAAUAAAGCGCCAAUUAUUACAACCAUCAAUAUUCAGCAGUGGACUAUCAGAGAAAAAGAUAUGCAGAUUUGAUUAGGAAAAAAUACAGUCAUGACUAUCACUUGGCAGAAGAGCAUUACUUACAGAUAGGAAAAGGGACACUCGCUUUAUUUGUAGGUUUAAAUAAUAAUUUGAUAUUUUAGCCAUCAUGUCAAGAAAUUAACAUUUAAAUUAGAGGAAACAAAUACAUGCACUGUGUCAUAGUGAGUCCCAUUCUGAUUUAAAACUAAACUAAGUCAUUCCUUGCUUUUCUUUCUCCAAUCCCGGAAUUUAAUAUUGACUCAAAAUAAAUAAAUAAAUAAAUAAAGUACAAUAUGCAUCAGAUUUGUCAACUUCUGAAACCCAAAGCAAAUAUUCACUAAUUGCCAGAAGCUUGCAGGUCAUGCUUAAAUCACUUACAACCUUACCUGCUUUUAAAAUUCAAACACAAAACAGGUAAAACUUAUAUGGAUUUUUUUUGUGAUAAUUCCUGGUGGAUUGGUAAAUGCAUCUUUGGGAGGUUUCCCACCUGCAGUUUAUGCAUAUUUUGUAGUCAGGGAGAGGGCCACUACGAACUUCAGUUUACAAUGUCACAUGGACUGCAUCUGCCCUCU